rnacentral:rRNA from 1 species
ACCCCCCGAAACUAGGCGAGCUACUCUAAAACAGCCAUCAGAGCAAACCCAUUCCUGUUACAAAAGGACGGGAAGAUUUUAAAGUAGAGGUGACACACCUAUCGAGCCCAGAGAUAGCUGGUUAUUCAAAAAUGGAUCUAAGUCCAACUUUAAGUUUUUAUAGUACCCCUAAACAACUCACAAACUUAAAACCCACUCAAAUAAGGUACAGCCUAUUUGAACAAGGAAACAACCUACAAUAUAGGGUAACGUCCACCAACAUGGCUAAGUAGGCCUAAAAGCAGCCAUCUUUUAAAAAGCGUCCAAGCUUCCCCACCUAACAUCCUUAAUCUCACGAUGCAACCACAACCCUCAACUACUACUGAAUGACCCCAUAUCUAUAUGGUAGACAUUAUGCUGGAACUAGUAAUAAGAAGACGAACUUCUCUAAAAUGCAAGCGUAAGCCAGAAUGAACAUCUCACUGACACCCACCGCUUCGACCACAGUAACAUAUUUCAAGAAAAUUCUACUUCCCUAAGCGCCAGCCUUACACCAGA